rnacentral:misc_RNA from 1 species
CCAGGAAAAGCCAACCAACCUCGAUCUCUUGUAGAUCUGUUCUCUAAACGAAC